GCGCCUGUAGUUCAGUGGUAGAACUGUAGCCUUCCAAGCUACUAGCGUCAGUUCGAUUCUGACCAGGCGCU
rnacentral:tRNA from 1 species